UACGUAGGGGGCAAGCGUUGUCCGGAAUCAUUGGGCGUAAAGCGCGUGUAGGCGGGUCGGUAAGUCUGCUGUGAAAGUCCAGGGCUCAACCCUGGGAUGCCGGUGGAUACUGGCGGGCUAGAGUGCGGAAGAGGCGAGUGGAAUUCCCGGUGUAGCGGUGAAAUGCGCAGAUAUCGGGAGGAACACCAAUUGCGAAGGCAGCUCGCUGGGACGUAACUGACGCUGAGACGCGAAAGCGUGGGGAGCAAACAGG
rnacentral:rRNA from 1 species